UACGUAGGGAGCAAGCGUUAUCCGGAUUUAUUGGGUGUAAAGGGUGCGUAGACGGGAUUACAAGUUGGUUGUGAAACCCCUCAGCUCAACUGAGGAACUGCAACCAAAACUAUAAUUCUUGAGUGCAGGAGAGGAAAGUGGAAUUCCUAGUGUAGCGGUGAAAUGCGUAGAUAUUAGGAAGAACACCGGUGGCGAAGGCGACUUUCUGGACUGUAACUGACGUUGAGGCACGAAAGUGUGGGGAACAAACAGG
rnacentral:rRNA from 1 species